UGCGUAGGCGGGUCUUUAAGUCAGGGGUGAAAUCCUGGAGCUCAACUCCAGAACUGCCUUUGAUACUGAAGAUCUUGAGUUCGGGAGAGGUGAGUGGAACUGCGGGUGUAGAGGUGAAAUUCGUAGAUAUUCGCAAGAACACCAGUGGCGAAGGCGGCUCACUGGCCCGAUACUGACGCUGAGGCACGAAAGCGUGGGAGCAAACA
rnacentral:rRNA from 1 species